rnacentral:lncRNA from 1 species
AAUCUUUUCAACUCUUAACUUUUAAAUUUUUGAUUAGGAUUAGCCUCUUCAUCUCCUCUCACUUCUUUAAUAAAUCUCUCCCUCCUUUUAAAAAUCUUCUUUGCUCGUGUUUUCUAAACCUAGACUCUAUUGCAAAUUAGAAACUUUGACCUUAUGCCAUUGCAUUUUCAAACUCUUUUCUUAAUCAAAUUUGUAAAUAAACUUAACUAUACUUGACUUAAAAUUUCAAAAGACAAAAAGAACUAACACUCAUUCAAACC